rnacentral:rRNA from 1 species
UACGUAGGGGGGCUAGCGUUGUCCGGAAUCAUUGGGCGUAAAGAGCGUGUAGGCGGCCCGGUAAGUCCGCUGUGAAAGUCGGGGGCUCAACCCUCGGAUGCCGGUGGAUACUGUCGGGCUCGAGUACGGAAGAGGCGAGUGGAAUUCCUGGUGUAGCGGUGAAAUGCGCAGAUAUCAGGAGGAACACCUAUUGCGAAGGCAGCUCGCUGGGACGUUACUGACGCUGAGACGCGAAAGCGUGGGGAGCAAACAGG